rnacentral:rRNA from 1 species
CAGAACGAACGCUGGCGGCGUGCCUAACACAUGCAAGUCGAGCGAGAAAGGGGGGCAACUCCCUGAGUACAGCGGCGCACGGGUGAGUAACACGUAGGUAACCUGCCCUCGAGCUCGGAAUAACCUACCGAAAGGUGGGCUAAUACCGGAUAUGACCACGGGAGUUUCGGCUCCUGCGGUGAAAGGUGGCCUCUGCUUGCAAGCUACUACUCAAGGAUGGGCCUGCGUGCCAUUAGCUAGUUGGUGAGGUAACGGCUCACCAAGGCGAUGAUGGCUAGCUGGUCUGAGAGGAUGGCCAGCCACACUGGGACUGAAACACGGCCCAGACUCCUACGGGAGGCAGCAGUGGGGGAUAUUGCGCAAUGGGCGAAAGCCUGACGCAGCGACGCCCGCGUGGGUGAUGAAGGCCUUCGGGUCGUAAAGCCCUGUCGAGGGGGACGAAUCGGUUGCGACCAAAUACGUCGUAACCCUGACGGUACCCCUAAAGGAAGCACCGGCUAACUCCGUGCCAGCAGCGGC